UACGUAGGGUGCAAGCGUUGUCCGGAAUUAUUGGGCGUAAAGAGCUCGUAGGCGGUCUGUCGCGUCUGCUGUGAAAACUCAGGGCUUAACCCUGAGCUUGCAGUGGGUACGGGCAGACUAGAGUGCGGUAGGGGAGACUGGAAUUCCUGGUGUAGCGGUGAAAUGCGCAGAUAUCAGGAGGGAACACCGGUGGGCGAAGGCGGGUCUCUGGGCCGUA
rnacentral:rRNA from 1 species